rnacentral:rRNA from 1 species
AGUGAACGCUGGCGGUAGGCCUAACACAUGCAAGUCGAACGGCAGCACAGUAAGAGCUUGCUCUUACGGGUGGCGAGUGGCGGACGGGUGAGGAAUACAUCGGAAUCUACUUUUUCGUGGGGGAUAACGUAGGGAAACUUACGCUAAUACCGCAUACGACCUACGGGUGAAAGCAGGGGAUCUUCGGACCUUGCGCGAUUGAAUGAGCCGAUGUCGGAUUAGCUAGUUGGCGGGGUAAAGGCCCACCAAGGCGACGAUCCGUAGCUGGUCUGAGAGGAUGAUCAGUCACACUGGAACUGAGACACGGUCCAGACUCCUACGGGAGGCAGCAGUGGGGAAUAUUGGACAAUGGGCGCAAGCCUGAUCCAGCCAUACCGCGUGGGUGAAGAAGGCCUUCGGGUUGUAAAGCCCUUUUGUUGGGAAAGAAAAGCAGCAGGUUAAUACCCCGCUGUUCUGACGUUACCCAAAGAAUAAGCACCGGCUAACUUCGUG